rnacentral:misc_RNA from 1 species
CUUCGUUCGUCCAAGCGUUAAUUUUGUGCAGAGAUUUUCUCCAACUUUAGGGGUGCUUUUCGUGAUGUAAAUUGCUCCAUGAAGUGACCUUUUCGCUCUCAAUGGUCCGCUUAUUACACCAUGGAACUACCAAAAGGUCAUCCCAGCCAUGAAAGGCCAUCGAUAUCCCAAGACUACCGUUAUCCUCCCCCAUCCACGCAUCACUUCUCACCCGGGCCCUCUCCAUCCUUUCACCACGCCUACACGGCCAGUUUGAUUGCGGCAGGUCACCCUGAACAGCACCAGCUGUCCCAACCGCCCAUGCUCCAGCAGCGGGAUGUGGUGACCAGGCUUCCACCGAGGAUCGAUGACAGAAGUGGUUACCAGCAACCGGACUCUCUGGCAGUCAUUCCUGGAAAUGUAGACCCAAUGGAUCAGCAGCGUCCAGAUGCCUUCAAGAAGCAAACCCUCACGACCAACCCUUACUUCUACCACCCCAACUUUGCGGUGAUGCCCUCUGUGGCCGCAGAAAACAACCACCUGCUCCAAGCCCCGCCCAAAGAGUGUCCACCAAACCUGGUCAUAGGGUCCGCAGUCGCAAUGGACGCUGCACCACGGGAGAACAGCCACGUGGUCAGCACCAUGGACAUGGCAUCAUCAACAUCCUCACCAAGUACUUGUACUUCGCUGCAGCCUCUGAACAACCCUGAGGCUUCCGUUGAGAGGACAACCGCUGCGGAUCCAGUGGCGCCGAAGGAUGCUGUCAUUGCUGGAUCUGUUACCAAGGAGCUUACUGAAGAAGAAAAGUAUCAGAUGUUGCGUAAGAAGUUUGCCCCAAAGCCCAAUUCCUUAAUCCAGACCUUACUGAAGAAAGGAGGCCCUCCCCCAGAUGGACUCAGCUAUGAUCAGUUCACCGAUGAUGCCAACGAUGUCCGGGUCAUUGCCGUGAAGCCUAUCGAGCCAGGACAGGUCUAUGGACCUUUGAAAGGGAGUGUGAAGACUCUGGACUGUCUUCAUAAUGUACAGGCAUGGGAGCUCUGCCUGGAUGGAAUGGUUGCUGCAUACAUGGCCCCUGCCCCGAGGAAGGAAUGGAUGGGGUUCGUCCGCAACGCUCGCUACCCCGAGGAAUGUAACCUGGAUGCUGGUCAGGUCUACGGACGGAUCUACUUCACCGUGAUCAAGAGGAUUCAACCGGGUGCUGAACUGAGGGUCUUCUAUAGUGAUACCUACAGAGAGAACUGUGGAUUCAUGUACGACCUUUCUGCUCUCAAUUAUGAUAAAGACACAGAGAGCUUCUCCUGUACCAUGUGUAAUGUGAAGACUGUCAACUCCAAGAGCAUGGUGAGACACUACAAGGUCACCCACCCUGAUGACGGCCUACAGGAAGAGAAGUCGGUGCCUUUGAAGGUGGCCGAGAGGCUGAAGCUGCUCAAUGCUCAGUGCAAGCUACCCCCGCAAUACGACGAGGACGACGAUGAGGAAGAAGAGGAGGAAACCAAGGAGGACGAUGCCAGAGCAGCAGAAAAGAAUUCUGAAGAAGAAGCACCGAAGACGUCAGUUCAGGGGAUGGCGGCAUCGAUGACAAAUUUACAGAGAGAUCAGAGUAAUCAUAAUGCAAAGAGAAAAAUGCAGGAUAACGGUGAAUCCCAGAGGUUCAUAUGUCCCACCUGCGGUAAGAACUUCCCCACCCAUGGCCGCUUGGUGGUGCAUGAGUCUUUCCAUACUACCAAUGACGCUAAGGACAAUGAUACAGAGAAUGAAACAGAUGACGAUGACGACAGUGUGACUGAGUACAUUGACCAUGGAAAUGGUAUUCAGUGUCCAAUCUGCGGUUUUACUUUCAAGGAUGUUGAUAAGUUCAAGGUCCACAAAAAGAAGCACAAGACUCACCGGUACAUGUGCGACCAGUGUGGGAACCUGUACACCAGGAGGACGUAUAUGUACCGCCAUCAGCGGGAGAACCAUGGAGCAGUACACGUACGAGCUAGACGUACUGUCAAUGUUUUUAUGCAAGGCACGUACACAUCAGCCAAAGCGCCCCAAGGAAGGGCGGGGUUACUGAGCAGCGGUGAUGAGUCAACUAAGAACGUGCCCAACCGUUGCAAGAUCUGCCACUAUGUAACCAUUUCGAACCAUAUGCUUAGAGAGCACUUGAUGCAGCAUCAAAACAGGCCGUAUGGAUGUGAAAAAUGUGGCCGAGUGUACAUGAGUAGGGGCAAACUGUACGAUCAUUUACGACGAAAGCAUGGAGCCACAAAGAUCCAUUAUCUGACCCCUCAGAGGAGACAGAGGAUUAUGAAAUACCUUAAAGAAAUGACUGUCCAGGUUCUCCGUUGCGGGGAAUGUGGAUUUUCCUGCCGUGAUCGGAAAUCCCUGGAAGUGCACAAACAGUCUCACAAGCUUGUCCAGAAGGUGGUUAGAAAGGUCAGUACCCCGGCUGAUUUGACCAACGCAGAGACUUGUGAAAUAUGUGGUUUUAAGACAGCGGAUGAAGAGUUCUUCACAGAACACAUCAACAAGCAUGUCGCUUUCCCAUUUGGGUGCAAGAAGUGUGGAAACACUUAUACGACUAAAAAGUCGCUUAUCAGGCAUCAUCAUGAGAAACAUGAGGAGCAAAUACUUGAUAAUAGGGAAUUGGACCAGAGUCUAGAUUUGAAGGCAAGACUGAUCCAUUCCAAGCACAAGGAUGCCUGUCCAGAAUGUGCCUUCUACACUCCGCAUAAGUCAGUUCUCAAGAAGCACAUAGCCAGGCACAAGGAAUUCCCCUACGGGUGCAUCGAGUGCGGGAAUGUAUACACACGCAACAGCACCUUACGUCGACACCAAAGAUCCAAACAUAUCCAUCUCUUCACAGGGGGCUUUGAGGGACCGGAAAAGAAGGAGAUUGGCGGGCUGCUACGGAAGAUGACUUCUCCCGAGGAACUCCAAAUCCAGGGUGACUCCUGUCCGCACUGUGGGUUCCGGACACCCGACAAGAACUUCCUGACUGACCACGUCCUCCUGCACCUGACCCAUCCCUGCGGUUGUAGGAUCUGUGGCAAUGUCUACACCCAGAAGAAGUUUGUGAUGAGACACAUGCAAGAGAAGCACCCUGAGGCCUACAGAGAGGACGUUGACGUUGCGCCCGUGACAGGCGACCAGGACAGCGCCUCGGACAGUGGAGGGGAGAGGGAUGGAAGCCUGGAUGAUGAUCGUAGUUCUGAAUCGGGGAAGGACGAUGGGUGGGAGCUCGAGGAAAUGGUAAAUGAUGAUUAUGGUAGGGAUGAUGAUGAGAUGGAUGGGGAAGGUGGAAUAGAUGAGGAUGAGAGAGAAGAAAAGAUGGAGGAUGGAGAAGAGGAUGAAGAAAUGGAAGGGGAGGAUUAUUCUGAUGAAAGUGAUGCUAGUGAAUAUGAUGAUGAUGAGGAUGAGGCGAGUAUUGGAAAUCAAGGUGAUCCCUGAUUUCUUUUACAUAUAACAUGUACAUGUAUAUAUAUAAUGGUACUUGCUCCCAUGAUACGCUGUAUUUUUUUAAAUAAUGGAUCAUAUCUUUGUUUUAAUACUCACGAUGUACUCCAUCACAAAACUUUCAGUUUAUUCCUCGAUCUUUGAUUUCCAAUGUAUACAAUUCACUUCAAUUUCAAAUGUUUAUAUCCUGCUUUUAUUGACGAAUUUAGAUUUAGAUUUGGAGUGUAUGGUGUUAUCAUGAGAAAUGAUGUUCAAACUAUUACAAUACUAACAAAGUUUAAACCUUUUGUUUGCACCUUCAAGGGCAAUUUUGAAAUUUUUAGUUCUUUAUCUAGUUUGGAAAACGUUUUCGCCUUUUAUUGUAAUAGAAGGGAAUGAAUGAAAGCUUUCAUUCAACUUUUGCAGAUUGGAAAUUGAAGGUUUGUGUCGUAUUGACUACCGGUAGUCCGGUACCUGCACUUUAUGUUUACAAACAUAAAUAUGUAUGUAGUAUUUUUAGCAUCUUGUUACAGUGGCAGCAAGACUGUAUUGCUGAUAUUAUGGGCAGUAUUGUAUAUCAGCAGCUGACUGAAGAAAGAGUUUCAUUUAGAUACAAGUCUUAAAGCCCAAAUACACAAAGGUUGUUUUGAAAACGGUUGCUUGCUUCCAUGGUUUAUGCACAUUUCCUGUAUGAAUAACGUUUUUUUACUGCUUACAUUAAAAGCAAUGUCCAAUGUUGACGAGUUAAUCACACUCUUUUCUUCAUGAGUCUACUCUUCAAAACAUUAGCAUCCUGCCUUUAAAUUUUCCCUUUUCCCUUUUCUAAAUCUCUUGGAUUAGGCAAACCUGUAUGUAUUUCUGGCUUGUAUAUAAUAGGUAGUAAAUGUGAAUAGUCCGGAAUGUCAUAUUGUUUUGCGGAUUUGGAUAUGGAGCAUCGUGAAUCCUGAUGAAAAAACAUAAAUGCAUGUAUAUAUAUGUAUAGUAUGUGUAGGUAUAUUUUACAACUCGCCCAUCUAAAUCAUGCCAUUUUUGUAAUUGACUUUGCAUCUCAUUGGUUUAAAUAUGGUGCUAGAUGUUUUUUGUUCGUGUGUGUCAUUUGAGGAGAAUGAAGCCCUUGGAUCAUUCAUGGCUUGUAUGAAAACAGAAAAAUCUAAGAAUAAGAUCAAUGAAAGUUUGAGGAAAACCGAAUGAAUAAUAGGAUGGUUAUGAGGAUUUGAAUAUUGAGAUCGCUGUUAAUGCUAUGUAAAUCCUAAUAUGGAUAAUGCGACCAAAAUCUGUGACGUCACGCACGUAAAACUUUCCCAUUACUUCAGUACAUAUUUCUCUCAGAUAUCAUCUCUUGUAUUUAUACCAGGUAUAUAUUCCAUCGCAAAGUCAGGUUUGUUUUUUUUAUAAGGGGACAUGUGAUACAGGUUUCACAACAUUACAUUGUGGAUGAAUUGAUUGUGAUAUCAUUAGAGCAGAAAAAAAGAUGUUUGGGCGUGUGUUUUCACGGACCAAAAGGGGAGAGUUAUACAUUUGUUACAUUAAAGAUCUUUUUUGCAUUGCCAAAAAGAGGAUCUCCAUCAUGGAUAGCAUUUAAUAGUAUUGACUUUCAAAUGUUCAUAACUUUUGUUUGUCCAAUUUUACUUAAACUUUUAAAAAUCUUAUUCUUUGAUUUUUUUUCUGUUUUUACACAAGGAAACCUUCAAUUGUGUAAUUCUCCUUAAAUCUUAUGUACAUUGUCAAAAAUGUA